AAACAAUCAAAAGCGCCUGAGCUGGGGAAAUCGGAUCACAGCCCCAGCAGACGAGGUGGAGGUUCAUCGACAAUUCGGCGGAUGCCUCCCGACCGCGAUGCCCGGUUGUCAUGCUUUCCAGCAAAACACACAAGCGAUUGUGUGACACAGAGGGGAAAGCCGGCAUCAAU
rnacentral:ncRNA from 2 species